CAUUUACAAGUGUUCAAUUCUUCUUCACAACUUUAAUCAAUCCAGUCGAACUAGUAACAAUCUGCGCCAAGAUCACAUAAUCUCCACUUUUUCAAGGUUUUGAUGCCUGGAUAUGAUCAAAAUUUGAUGAUACCAGUGGCUUCCAGUGCUGAAUUAAAAGAGCUCAAACGGGACAAGGAAACGGCUUUGCUAAGAACAAGGAGGAGCAAGGAUACAUUAUGGAAAGUUGACGUGUGUAGAAAGGAAGAUAAUAAAUGGUGCUUCAGUGGAGAUAAUUGGAGAGAGUUUGUCAAAUCCCAUGAAUUGAACGUUCAUGAGUUCUUAGUAUUUGAACACAAAGGCGACUUGUUUUUUAAUGUUUUUAGCUACGAUUCCCCUGCUGAUGGUGAUGGUAUGAUCUGCGAGAAAGAAAUCUCGUGGUGAUCAUGAACGCAGACGCGCAUCUGUUAGAGUUAAUCCUCAGAGCAGAUCAACAGUUAGACUUGAUUCUCGGAGCAGAUCAACAAGUCACACCAAGGCGCCGAAGAAUUCCACCUGUUCCCCUUGCUUCACCAGGACCAUGGCUGCAUCACACCUAAUUCCUAGCUCGCCUUAUUUGGCGAGUAAUAAAAAAAAAUAGUAAUCGUUUUAGUUCAUCAAUUAAUACCACCUUAUCUUAUUAAUCAAUUAUGUUUUUUUACGUCCUUGAUUGUUUUGGGGUAGAACAUUCCUCAACAAUUUGUAAGGAGUAACAAUCUGGAAGAGCACUGUGGGAAUACAAUCACCCUUGGAGAUCGUAAACAAAAGAAGGCGUGGCCCGUCAAACUUUGUCAUCCCAAGCGCACGAGUCUUCGUGAUGGUUGGAGUGAAUUUGCAAUGUCAAAUGAGUUAAAGUUGGGUGAUACCUGCAUAAUGGAGUUAGAUGAGACUGCAAGAAGGAAGAAAGGCCGUAUUAUCUUCGAUGUUCGAAUUUCAAGGAAUGCCCACAACAAUGAAUGAAAAUCAAAUCUGGUAUAUAUGAAUGAUAUCUGCCUCUCUCUGAUUAUAAGCAGAUGUCAUACUAAUUAGCAUUAGUGAUAAUUAUUAAUUACUAUGUUCUGUUCUUAGUAAUUUAUGAACUUGGUUAUUAGUUUU